GGCCUGAUGGUCUAGUAGUAUGAUUCCUUGUUAGGGCCCUUUGGGGAAUUUCGAGGAGGUCCCGGGUUCAAUUCCCGGUCAGGCCC
rnacentral:tRNA from 1 species